rnacentral:rRNA from 1 species
UGGGGAAUAUUGGACAAUGGGCGAAAGCCUGAUCCAGCCAUGCCGCGUGAGUGACGAAGGCCUUAGGGUUGUAAAACUCUUUCGUCGGGGACGAUAAUGACGGUACCCGAAGAAGAAGCUCCGGCUAACUUCGUGCCAGCAGCCGCGGUAAUACGAAGGGAGCUAGCGUUGUUCGGAAUCACUGGGCGUAAAGCGCACGUAGGCGGAUAGUUAAGUCAGGGGUGAAAUCCUGGGGCUCAACCCCAGAACUGCCUUUGAUACUGGCUGUCUCGAGGUCGAGAGAGGUUGGUGGAAUUCCUAGUGUAGAGGUGAAAUUCGUAGAUAUUAGGAAGAACACCAGUGGCGAAGGCGGCCAACUGGCUCGAUACUGACGCUGAGGUGCGAAAGCAUGGGGAGCAAACAGGAUUAGAUACCCAUGUAGUCCCUGAGCGGGCUGGCAAGGCGCAU